rnacentral:rRNA from 1 species
GAUGAACGCUGGCGGCGUGCCUAAUACAUGCAAGUCGAGCGAACAGACGAGGAGCUUGCUCCUCUGACGUUAGCGUCGGACGGGUGAGUAACACGUGGAUAACCUACCUAUAAGACUGGGAUAACUUCGGGAAACCGGAUCUAAUACCGGAUAAUAUAUUGAACCGCAUUGUUCAAUAGUGAAAGACGGUUUUGCUGUCACUUAUAGAUGGAUCCUCGCCGCAUUAGCUAGUUGGUAAGGUAACGGCUUACCAAGGCAACGAUGCGUAGCCGACCUGAGAGAGUAAUCGGCCACACUGGAACUGAGACACGGUCCAGACUCCUACGGGAGGCAGCAGUAGGGAAUCUUCCGCAAUGGGCGAAAGCCUGACGGAGCAACGCCGCGUGAGUGAUGAAGGUCUUCGGAUCGUAAAACUCUGUUAUUAGGGAAGAACAAAUGUGUAAGUAACUAUGCACGUCUUGACGGUACCUAAUCAGAAAGCCACGGCUAACUACGUG